rnacentral:tRNA from 1 species
GCCUGGGUGGCUCAGUGGUUGAGCGUCUGCCUUCGGCUCAGGGCAUGAUCCCAGGGUUCUGGGAUCAAGUCCCACAUCAGGCU